GACAGAGGGUGCAAACGUUGCUCGGAAUUACUGGGCGUAAAGCGCGUGUAGGUGGCCACGCAAGUCAGGUGUGAAAGCCCAGGGCUCAACCCUGGAAGUGCACAUGAUACUACGUGGCUGGAGUACUGAAGAGGAGAGCGGAAUUCCCGGUGUAGAGGUGAAAUUCGUAGAUAUCGGGAGGAACACCAGUGGCGAAGGCGGCUCUCUGGGCAGAUACUGACACUGAGGCACGAAAGCGUGGGGAGCAAACAGG
rnacentral:rRNA from 1 species